rnacentral:lncRNA from 1 species
UCUAUGAGAAACAUACAUUCAGUUGUCUGCAUUGAGGAUAUUAAAUUGGAAAAUGAUCAGUCCAACUGAAUUUUAUGAAUUUCCAUACUGUUCCCAGUGAUAAGUACAAAUAGUUGUCCUUGCAGCCAUGGAAAUAUUUACGUACGUCUCCUCAGAAAUAAAGCAAAUUGAGCAGGCAUCUCAGCCACCACUCACCUUCAGACCAACAUGGAAAGUAUCCUCUGUGUUCUAUGAUUGAAACAAGAACUGGAUCCUGUUAAAAUGAUGUGAGGUGACCCUUACAUUCACAUGAAAAAGCAUUUGCAAAUUGCUGUGUGAAACUGACCUACUCUGUAAGUGGAAUAAAGUGCAUUCAAAAUGUUAUUUGCUCA